rnacentral:miRNA from 10 species
UGUGUGUGUGUGUGUGUGUGUGUGUGUGUGUGUGUGUGUGUGUGUGUCGUCUACACACACACACACACACACACACACACACACACACACACAC